UACAGGGGGUGCAAACGUUGCUCGGAAUUAUUGGGCGUAAAGCGCGCGUAGGCGGCCGCUUAAGUCGGAUGUGAAAGCCCCUGGCUCAACUGGGGAAGUGCACCCGAAACUGAGUGGCUUGAGUACCAAAGAGGGUCGCGGAAUUCCCGGUGUAGAGGUGAAAUUCGUAGAUAUCGGGAGGAACACCGGUGGCGAAGGCGGCGACCUGGGUGGAUACUGACGCUGAGGCGCGAAAGCGUGGGGAGCGAACAGG
rnacentral:rRNA from 1 species